AGCCCUUGGAAGUGCGUCACUCCCUGCGGAGCUGCUGCGGCGUUCCCGAGGGCUGUGCCUGCGGAUCCAGCGUGGAGAGCCCCAUCUCCAGCAGCCAGGUGGAGCAGACACCCAGGGAAAAGGGACUUCGGUGUGGGACAGAGCUCAAAUGUCAGUGCCCCUUCCGCCACGGCCUAGCAGCCUGGAUGUAGUCGUCCUGUCAGAAGUAUGAAAUUUACAGCAGAAGAAUUAAUUUAACACCAAAAAAGCUCUCCCUCAUCUGAACUGUCAUUCAAAAUGCACAAUGAAAAUCACCAAGGAGGAGUUUUCUACCCCACUGUCUACAGGACUCCUGGAAGAAUCUUCUGAAACUUGCGCACAUCUGUCUCGGACUGCCCUUAAAAAGACAAAGCAGUGA
rnacentral:lncRNA from 1 species